GAGCAGCCGGGUGGCCCUUAGUGAUGUCACAAGCGGCUAGAAUGAGGGGAGGAGCAGCGCGUGCUGCUUCCCUUCAUUGGAGCGCUUGAGCUCAGCGUGAGUACGUGGCUUGUUGCACUUGUGCAUCGAGUGAGUCUGUUCGUCUUCAGCCCGUCUUGCGCAGCGUCUUGUAGCUUUUGCUCGCGGAAGAUCAGAGCAAAGUGACAAGGACCGGCUGCGGGUUUGAGGAUCUUCUUCUCCCUUGUUCUGAUCUCUUGCCAGCUUGUCGAGCCUGCUGUGAUGGGCAUCGCGAGCAGCAAGAUCAGCUGUGGGCCUGACCUGGCAUGGACAGAGGUAUGGUGUGAAGCUGUGAUUGGUCUUUGUUCCCUGACUUGAACCCGCAGUGUGAGCCACAGGUGUGCUCUCCUGCUUUUCAAGAUAGAGAGAGAGAGAGCAUCCUUCCGGCUCUCUUGGUGUCACUGAAGAGCUGCCUUGAAAGCUUCAUUUCCUUGCUAGUGGCAUGUAGAUGGCACCCUGCAAUCCUCCU